GCCUGAGUGACUCAGUUGGUUAAGUGUCUGACUUCGGCUCAGGUCACGAUCUCACAGUUUGUGAGUUUGAGCCUCACAUCGGGCU
rnacentral:tRNA from 1 species